rnacentral:rRNA from 1 species
UACGGAGGGUGCAAACGUUGCUCGGAAUCAUUGGGCGUAAAGCGCGCGUAGGCGGCUGAACAAGUUGGAUGUGAAAGCCCUGGGCUCAACCUAGGAUGUGCAUUCAAAACUGUUCGGCUUGAGUCUCGGAGGGGGUCAGAGAAUUCUCGGUGUAGAGGUGAAAUUCGUAGAUAUCGGGAGGAACACCAGUGGCGAAGGCGCUGACCUGGACGAUGACUGACGCUGAGGCGCGAAAGCGUGGGGAGCAAACAGG